rnacentral:lncRNA from 1 species
AAAAACAAAUCCAUUUCUUAACAGAUCCAAGAUUUAACAACAUAAAAAUCAAAAGCUCAUAACUAUUUAAACAACAAAUUACCAGAUCUACAAAUUUACAUAAACAAUCGGUUCAAAUAGCUGAAAUGAAUCAAAUAUCACAAGCACAAAUCGAUUAAUUCAUAAAUAAUAAUUCUGUAGCUCAAAUGAAUAAUAAAACACUCAAAUUAAUCAGAAAUGAACCGAAAAAACUGAGAAAACAAUCAUAUAAACUAUAAGCAAAGAUACAUAGAUCGAAUAAAAGAGAUGAGAAUCGAAGGAUGACGAUACCUGAGCUGGAAAUGAAAUGAAAAGUUGCUACUCGUUCGGAAUCCUCAGCCGCAGAGAGAGACUGAGAGAUAGAAGAACAAGUGAAGAGUGAAAUGAAAAACCUAGGGUUCCAACUAUUUUAUAGUGAGAUUUUUAGGUAUGGAUUAACGUACUUUUUGUGACGACGUCGUUUCGUUGAGGUUUCAUAACUUGAUGACAUGGGUUGGGCUCUCGUACAAGCAUGGCCCAAAUUAAUAUCCC